GCCAGUGUGACUCAGUGGUUAGAGUGUUGGCCCUGAGUACUCAAUGGUAACGGGUUUGAUUCCCAGUCAAGGGCA
rnacentral:tRNA from 1 species